GUUUCUGUGGUGUAGUGGUUAUCACAUCCGCCUAACACGCGGAAGGUCCCAGGUUCGAAACCUGGCAGAAACA
rnacentral:tRNA from 1 species